AAUAAAAGAGAACCUAUCUUCUCGCAAAUUUGUUACGUCUUAUAAUAUUUAACACGUUUCGAUGGAAUAUUUACAAGGUUAAAAGUGUGUUGGAGAUGUAGUGUGAUGUUAGUCAAAUGUGUUUGUGCAAGUAGUUUCAUAAGUAGUUUCGUAAGUACGUGAAAAUUUGAAGGCGAAUUUGUAGAGUUUGGUUCUUUACUUUAUAGAGUGUGUGACAAAUUUAUCAGCAAUCUGUACUAGGAAUGGUGCGUAAAUUUCACCAAAUCCCCAUCAAUACUCCGUUGACACGCUGGCCGAAAGGGAGAAUCAAGUAUUUCCCUAGCAAACUUAAUUAAUUGAAGUGAAUACGUAAUUUGGAAAUUAAUUAACAUCAGAGAGGAAUCGAAUUCGAAAAAGUGGAGGUUAGGCAGAGAGAUGGGAUACAUGGAUCGACAACCAGACCAAUUUUUCAAAUUUCAUCCCCUCUUUCAUCCUUUGGUAGCCUAAUGGUAUCUGCCGAUCGAUGUUAAUUAAUAUUUGUACGUCUGAAUCGGAGACAAACGAGCAAGCACCACGAGAAUGAAUUCAAUUAAUUCUCGGACGUUGUCCGAUGUUAAUUAAUGAAUCGGCCACGUGACGAAUGGAAAAUGCAUUUAGAAGAAAGAAAAAAUUUCGUGGAAUAAGUGUGGAUCAAUGUUUUCGACUUUUGAAACGAGAGAAUUGAAAGGAAACAGAAAAGAAAUCGUAGAAAAUAGACAAUAUUAUCAAAUUGAAGAAUAACGAAUGGAAGUUUCAUUACUUUUAUCGAUAAUCGAGAAAGAAGAUUUCAAUCAUUCUACAAUUCUUUUGAAAUUCUUUUCAAAUUCGUCUCAAAUAUCAUAUAAAUUCCAUCAUCAAAUAAAUUUCCAAAGAAGAAUCAAAAAUAUAAUUCAACAUGACACGAUACGAAGUAAACGUAGAAGAGUUGAUUUUCGACUUGGAUGCUGCGAAUAAAUUUCCAAUAAUUUCAAAAAAUAAUCAAGAAUAAUAAAACGUAAGUGAGUUAACCUUCGGCUUGGAAGAAAUGUAAAACAAAUAUUAUUGCAAAUAAGAAUAACGGAUUAUAAAUAUGAUCUUUCGGUUUGGAAGAAAUCGAAGACGAAGAUUGUCCAUCGUCGCGCGAUGCUUGCGAUAAUUGGAGAAAAGAAACGAGAAUAAAGUGGAACGUAGAUGAGUUGACUUUCGUGUUGGAAAAAAAUCGAUCGAUCGGAAAUUCCCGGAAGCGGAAACUCGUUCCACGCGCGAGCUCGCGGUACGGCUCGACAAUUAACUCUCUGCCGGAUUUUCCACCAAUUUCCUGGCUGAAUUAAUCACCGCUGGCCGGUAUCAACGCUCGAAAUUUGGAGCGGCGCCGGUUAAACGCGAUCCGGAGACGUAAUUGCAACGAGCCGGAUAGAUUAUGCGACUGUUCUGUACGCCGGCUACCUUUAUUAUACCAUUCCCUUCGUCUCUUUACAUCGAUCUCCUCCACUUUCCAACCCAAUUAACCAAAAAUUUUCUUCGCCUUCCUUUUCUCGCCCUUUCCUUCCUUCUUAUGAACUUUUCAGCAAUUUUGAAAGGAAGUGGAAGGAAGAAAUGAAUAAACGCAAUGAAGAGACUGAAGAUUCGAAAAAUCUUGUUGCUUCUCUUCUUGAAGAAUUUUUGAAAAAGUUGGUAAAAGGAGGAUCCAUCGACUUUUAUGAAAUUUCAUCAACGAGCCAAUAAAUGGAUUCAUCCCCAUAUCAAAAGAGCGAUUCAAUUGAUCCAGUGUUUGGUGUAAUUCACGUAUAUUUACCUUCGACUUCGCUCGACAAAUCCACUUUUCUACAAAUUUUAAUUGUGUCGGGAGAGAAAAGGAAAAUUCCAAACUAAAAACUUCUAAAGUUGGAAAAAGUUUGUUCGAUCCUCGAGAGAUUCGAUUCCUCUCGUUGAGCGUAGCAGGUUUCCACGGGGGAAAAAUCGGGAAAUUACUGGAGAGUCCAGUGAUUCUCGACCACCUUGGCUCGGAUCUUUAAUUCCACUCCUGUUAAUAAUGCAAGUGUCGUAGUCGAACUUGGAAUUUCAUUAUCCGGCGAGAGUACUUUGUUUCGUUGCGUGAAAACGAGAGAAGGAGCGGAAGAGAAAUAAAAGAUUGGAAUUUAAUCAGAAUUCUUCGAUCAUCGUGUGGAAAAAUUGUGAUUCUGAUUCUGCACUAUGUUCAAAUCUUCUUUCGAUUAUCGAUAAAGCGGAGAAAUUGUUAUUCGUCGAUUUGGUUAGUAUCAUAGUUGGAAAAUUGUUAUGUAAAUUUAUUCCUAUUAGAUACGAAAUACGUAAUGUUUAUAUGUUAUCGAUUCUAGCGAUAGAAACAAACACAAAAGGUAUAUUGAUAUGCAGAAAUAUUGUGAGGCUUAUUUAUCGAGUUAAGAGAAAGAUAUCUAUGUUUUAUCAUAUACAUUUUCUAUACCCUACUUUCCGAAAAUGUUCAAUAUCCUAUGUACUCUAUUAUGAUGAUCUCCAAAAAGCUUGUUAUUUAUUCAAAAGAUUGCAAGAUAUUUACUAAAACGUAGAGAAUAAUUAAUUACACGAUCCAAUAGAAAGAAAAUUGAAGUAGUAAUCAUCGAUAUUAAAGACCAUUCCACGAAUGGUUCACUUUUCCAUUCACCAAUGGUAUUUAAUCAUGGUAAUUUAAAUUGUUAAUUGAUUAACAAUCGUCACACUUUCGAUAAAUCUAUUGCGAACUCGUCCAAUUGGAAAUUUAAAUUAUUCAUAAAAUGCAAAUGGCAACAAGUUUCUUCGAAGCUCCCUCUGUUGAGAACUUAAGCCGCACGAGAUCCAACGUGCGAGCUUAAGCGAUCUUAACUGGUCGCCAUUGUGCUGUUACGAAUCCAAUAUGGCGUCGGUAUGUAUAUAUAACCUUGGCGUAUUCCAUGGACCAGUGAUGAACCAGGGUCCACUCCAGAACGGGAGUUACGACAUCCGUAAACUAUUCCUCGACUUGGUCAUUAUGGAGGGCUAGAUUAUUCCAAGUUCUAAGCCGAGUUGAGUUCUAAAUUCACGAUGGCGAUAUUCCUCGACCAUAACCUGGCAUGUUUAACUUGCGAUAAGCCUGCAUUAUGCCGAAGCAAAGUUGCUCUAAGCGCCAUUAUGCUUGGAAUUUAGAUUACAGCUCGGCCAAUUUAGGUUAUGAACCAAUUUACCAAAAAUUACAGAGACGAAAAUUGUAGAGAAUUUUUGGAUUUUUUUUCCGAGAUUCGAGAGAGAAUUAGAUGCGAUCUUGCGAAAUACUUUCAAUUUAAACGAUUGAAAUGAAAAAUUUCAGAGAUUGUUUUGUAAUACGAAAAUGCAGGGACAGAAUUGCACUAACUUAUUAUGAUUGGAAUUUGAAUUGUUGAAUAAUUGAUUUAGAAAAUGAAUCUAAUCAAAUGUAAUUUUUUUGCAUCGUAUUCGAUUUAGUAAAAAUUUCAUGAACUAUAGUUAUUUCUUUUAGAAUUUUUUUUACACUUUUUUUUCGAUCGAAGAUUCGAAAUAUUUCGAAUUCGAAUCUAAUUCUAAUAUCGUGUCGAAUUUAUCAAAAACUUUAGAGAUAAUAAUUGCUUUCAUAGAAAAAUUUUUUUCAUCACUGCGAUGCAAAAAAACACUUUGACUUUCGAAAAUUUUUUUUCGUUAUUACGAUCGAAGAUUCGAAAGAUUUUAAACUUAACUCUAUUCUUUUACAUAUUCUUUCGUCAAAAUUCAAAAAUUUCAAAAAUAAUUAUCCCUGUACAAAAAAUUUUUUCCACCAUCAGAGAUUCAAUAAAAUGACGCUUCCUUUCAUUCGAUUCCCCUAUCUGUCAUUUCAGAGAAAAAAACAAUUCAUUCGCUCGUAGAAACUUAUUCAUUAUCCAACUUAUUCCGCCUUCCUGUCGAUUCUCACUAACUUUUCGUGGGACUCGAAUUAUCUAUGUCUCUUCCGGUCACGGACCUUUCUUCCCUUUCAUCGAGAGGACGUUAAUAAAAUUCCUGCAGUUUUCUCGCCGAACCAAGGGACAAUUUACUCGGUUCUCGUGCUCCUGGCCUAAUGGCUGUAAUUAAAAUCGAGGUUGUUUUAAGAGGCGGAGCCAGCUAGCCGGAUUCCUUAGCCGGAACGCUCAUAACCGGUGUAAUAUUUUGAACGGAGAAACGGCUGGGAACUGAGAAAAAUUACCUCGUUACUCAGGUCUAGGUUAUUCAUCUUUAAGAGAUGAGAGGAGGAAAGAAUUAAUUUACCUUCGGUGAUGGAUAUUUUUUUAAAAGCGUUAUUCAGAUACGGUGGAAUAUUGUUUGUUAACCUUGGAAAGUAUACAGAUGCGAAUAAGGAAAUAGAAAAUUCAAUCUCGUUUUGGAAAUUAAAUUAUAUUUGAUCAAGAUUAUUGACAUUUGCAACGUAAAAGAUGAUAUUUGAUCGAAUAUUGUAAAAAAUUUGUUUAUUUCGUUACGAUCGAACAUAUUCUUUUGUAUCUCGUCAAAUAUUCUAAAAACUUCAGAGAUGAUAAUUCAGAAUAUCCGAUAGAAAAAUUUUUUCUACUAUUACGAUCGAAGAUUUGGAAAACUUUGACUUUCGAAUUUUUUUUUUAAAUCUUCUCGAUCGAAAUUUCGAAAGAUUUCGAAUUUGAAUUUUUUUAUAUCUUAUUAAAUAUCCAAAAAAUUUUAGAGAUAAUAAUUAUUCCAUAAAAAAUUUUUUUACACAUUGCUGAUGAAAGAUUCGAAAGAUUUCUAACCUGGAUAAAAUCUUUUAGUAGAAGAUUUCCCUGAUGACACGCCUGAUUCAACGAUCAAAAUCCAUCUCUUCUCGCCCUAUAUAUCCAAGGUGUCCAAGAUGAGAAACUCGAUCGAUUGCGACGAAAUUUCAUCGCAAGAAAAGAAGAAACGAAGCGUGGACAGGUUAUCAACCGGUUAUCGCGUUUUCCACCAACGAAUCGAAUAAGAAAGGAAGGAAAAUUGCUCCGUUUCGGGCUUCUGCUCGUUUUAAAAUUCAAUUCUUAUUCUCGGUAUCUUCGAGAUUAUUAUGGAGGUUGCGCGCGCCAUCUGGUUACGGAAUUUUAGUCAAGGCAUGUCGUAAAGACAAGAUUGUUUGAGUUGAAGCUCAUCAUCGUGCUCGUAGACGAUGAAAUUCAAGUAGUCACGGUGUGUCUAAACGUUUCAGCAUGGAACCGUGAUUACUUCCUCCAAGGAUAUUGUCAAGAGACUGGAACUCGUGAAGAUGAUGGAAUUUUUCUUGUUCUUUCUAAUAAUCGAAGAAGAGGAGAUGUUUGUACGUUUAUAAGAGAUUCUUAAAUGUAUAAAUCGAUGGAAUUAUAUUGCAUUCGGAGAAUUUUGAUAAAAAUCUGAAUUUAUGAGAACGAUUUUUUUUUUAUAUCUAAAAGAUGAAUGAGCGAAAUAAAUAAUUGAGAAAAUUGCGAAUAUUUCAAUGGAUUUUAACGAAAAUGUUUGGAUUCGAAGUAACUACAAUUAUUUAUAAUUAUUAUAAUUUUUCAUAAAAAAUUAUAUAGUAAUAUUUUCAAUAUUAAAUUAUAUGAUGCUAACUUAAAAAUUGAAUUUUUUCGAGAAAUUAGAGAAAUAAAAUUCAUUAAAUUACAUAUAAAACGAAACGUUAGUCAGAAACAUAAAAAAAAUAAAAAGAAAAACUUUUUAAUUUUAUCAGAUUCGCAGUAUCAAAGUAAGAAAAAGUAUACAAAAAUUAUAAAAAUACGUUCCAAGAAAUAAUAAAUACAAAUCCAAAUCCAAAAUAAAAAAAAGUCCAAACCUAUUAUAAUCCAAAACAAAAGGAAAAACAUAAUAUAACAUUGUUCGAGAUUAAUUCCUCGAAACGGAAAUCGGAUUAUAGUAUUAUAAUAUCACGCUUCUAUGUCUUUUCCACGCCCGAUACCGACCGAAUCGAACAAACUUUUCAGUACAAAUCGAGCAUCGCGAGAGAACGGUUCGAUCAGUGCUCCUUCAUAGAUUAAAUUUCCAAGUUUGCCAGCUUCGAAAGGUGGGAGAGAAAUUGGAGAAUCUUCAGCUUCGACAGGAUAGAUGGCUUUUUUUAGAGAGGGCGAAGGGAUGCAUUAUCCAGAUGGUAUUUUCGAGUAGAUAGAAAAGGGAAGGAAAUUUUUUUUGAACGAAUCUCGAAUAAUGGGAAGGCGAAUUAUUACCGAUGUAACGUAUGUUUUGAGAGAAUUAUAAUUGAUUUUUUUUUUCUUUAGAGAGGAGAAUAUUUUUAGUGGAACAGUGAAAAAUUUUUUUUUAUUUGUUCGUGAUCGAAGAUUUUGAACUUAGACUUAAUCUUUUGCGUUUCAUUCAGUAUUCUAAAAAUUUUCUUAUACCAAAAAGUUUAUUCAAAGAUUCGAAAAGUUUCAAGCUUUGAAAUUUUUUUUUAAAUCUUUUCGAUCGAAGAUUCGAAAGAUUUCGAACUUGGACUUAAUUUUUUGCGUUUCAUUCAAUAUUAUUCUAAAAAUUUUAGAGAUAAUAAUUAUUCUCAUAAGAAAAUUUUUUUACAUUAUUGCUAACUAAAGAUUCGAAAAGUUUUAAAAUUUUUUUGAAUCUUUUCGAUCGAAAUUUCAAAUUUGGAUUCAAUCUUUUGUAUUAUAUUUAUCGAAUAUUUUAAAAAUUUUAGAGAUAAUAAUUAUUCUCAUAGAAAAUUUUUUCAUAUCAUUCAAAAAUUCGAGAAAUUUCGAGCUUCGAAAUUGACGUUUUUUUUUGGAGGAGGAGAAUAGGAUAUUUUUAUUUGAAAAAUGAUAUUGUGGAAAUAAUAAUUUAAUUUUAAAGUUAUCUUUUCAGGAUUUUCUGUUAUCCCCUGAAAAUUCAAUUCGUUUAAGAAUUAUAUUAUAUAUCGAAUGAUUCGUAAAAUUUGAAAGCUUUCAACAAUCGAAAAGUAGCACCUCUUCGUCAAGUGAAAGGACUUGUUGCUCUUCAAAUUGAUUUUACAAUUCCUCAAAUUCUAUUUCUUCGCGCCUCCUCGAAGCCAAACACUUUUUCUAUGCUCGAUACAAAAUUUUGUCCCUUUAACAAGAUAUAAGGAGCGCAAAUCCAUUGCCAAUAAUUUAAGAAGAAGACGAAAAAGAGAAGAGAAAAAUCGGUGAAAAGAGGACUCAAAGAAGUCUUCUCGAAAACCUCUAGAUAUAUUGAAUAAAAUCGGUAAGGAAAGGAACAAAGAGAUCCGAAAAAUAUCAGAAUCUUGAAAAGAAAAAUCGUCAAAAGUUCGAAAAUGAUUUCGAAAACCUCAAUGAAGAACGAAUAAUUGACAGAGGGAUAUGAAAAUCAGCGACAAAAAAAGAGAUUUCUUAAUUCAAGAAAUCAAGAACAAAAAAGAAGAAAAAUUCGAAAAAAUUAUCGACGAUUCUUAUAAGAAACAAUCAACGAGAGAAUGAAAAUCGUCGAUCGAAGAGAUCCAAUUCGACGAAAAAUAAGAAAAAUUCGAAAAAAUUCUCGAGAAUCCCCAUAAGCGAGGAUAAAGAAAUAAACGAAGUUCGACAAAUCCAAUAAAAAAAAAAGAGAAAAAGAAAAAAAGAAAAAUCCCCGAAAAAUUCGAAAAACUUUUCGAGAAUCUCUCGAAGCAAGAUCAAGAAUGAAAAUCAGCAAAAAAAAAAAAGAGAAAGAAAAAGCAGAGAAAAGACGAGGUCUGCUGACGGAACAAUUUGGUCGUUCCAUCGAGGCGGAAGAGUGGGGAUGGCGUGCAAUCGAUAGGUAACGCUCUCUCGCGAGUUCUCGAUCAUCCCGAGCACAGCCUCGGGCCGUUUUCACGUACGGGAUACGAUCGAGGUUUGCCGCGUUCCGGAAACGCCAGCCAGCCUUCCGAGCAAUUAGAGGAAUUUUGCUGACUGGCAAAGUUAUUAUACAGAGGCCCGCAGGGACAAUGGCUGCCUCCACUUCCGGGUGGAGGAUCGCUGCCAGAUUUCGCGGUGUUGUUUACGCUGUUAAUCUUGAAACUUGACCCGGAUAUAUACGGGUGUACAUCGUCGUUGCUAUCGUACGUGUUCUCUCGAUGGUUGAGUGGAUAACUUUACGUGGGAUGGAAUCGUGUAUAUAACGGAUAUACAAUAGUUUGAAGUAUUUUAUGUGAUAUA